UUUAUCCCUAGCCAUAUAAGAAAGUGCAAUAAGGAUUCAGCUCAGAACGGUGUGAUAGAUUUAUCCGAGGAAUAAAUAGCUAUUGUGACGCUACCUCUAAAUACAGAAAUAACGCUAUAUUCUUGUGUUACGUUUUGAAUGUAUUGUUUAUCGUGAUAUUCAAAUAUCGAAGGAGCUGUACCUAACCCCAAUCACAAUUCAUAUUACAAUAUUCCUGUUUGAUUACAAAGUAAGAUUAAGUGGUAAGAAAAUGAACAAAAAUACCUCGAUCACGUGUUUUCCUGAAAUCCUCGUAUCAAUCUUAAAAUAACGACACGCAGCCUUCGUCAGGUUCCUCUCUCCACUCCUAUUUACACGCGUGCUGCAGACAAUUAAACCUACCGCUAAAAAGGUGAAACACGCGUUUCUUCGCGUCGAAAUGGACACUGGAACCGCGCUGCCGGUUGUCAGUGUCCAGCUCCGAAUAUCCGAAAGAGCGGUUGGCCAGUAGCAAAAAAGGCAAUUCGAGCGGCGCGAACGCGGCCAAUUCCGCUCGAAUCCCAAUCCGCUUGGCGUACAAGGCAAAAAGAAGAUGUGCACGCUGUUCUACCUGGCGAGCCAAGGGAAUUAGCCUUCGGGAAUCGCGGUCGCGAUGCAUAAUGCAGGGGUAGCCGCGCUGGAUUUAUGUAACUUAAUUUGUAACGCGCGACGUCCGACUGUCCUGUCCGUCUAAGAACAAGUUCGAAGAGGAAUAAAGGGGCGGAUCAGGUGGAGGGGAUCAUCAGGAAAGCUACGCACACGCGAGACCGUGUAAUAAUGGUGAACUCGAUGAGCAAGUUUUUCACUUUGCAUGCAAUAAGCGAGCAGACUCGACGAAAUGCUGCUCCUUCCGCAACAGCGCGCCAUACCAGCGGUUUUAAUAAAAUCUCGUUGAUCUAAUAACACGAGUGUGACCGUGGCGAAAAAGAAAUCGGGCUAAGAGCCACGCUGACAAAGAGGGGGAAAGAUAUUGGGAAAUAAAGGAAGCUGGCAAGGAUGGAGAUGCUUGUCAUGGUCGCUGGUGAAAAAUGAUGGGCUGUUCCUUUUUCUUGAUUUCUCGCCAGGCAAGGCACUCUUUUGACAACUGUGAUUCGGAAUUUAUAUACAAAAUUUGCCUGCUCAGGUUUAGUACAAUUAUGGUAGCACUCUGUUUAUAUGAACCUAUCAGUAGACAAACUGAUGAAUCAAUAGAUGAAGCUUAUACAUGUAAAUUUAAUUAACAAAACAAACAGUUGAAUUUAAUGAACUUUUUUUUAAUGAAUGCAAUUGAACGUUCACUGAAAUUUACUUCAGAUAAAUAGAAGUCAUAUAAACGAAGUUCUACUGUAAACAUGUCAAUUCAAUGAACGUGAAUGCGAAAGUUCUUCUCAAUGUAUCGAUUCUACAUAAGACACAGGACAAUAGAGUGUCUUCUAACUUUACCUCGAUAAAUUCAGAAUCUACUUCCUGAAACCUCUUCGUCUUGCUCGGACCCUCAGAUGCUGCUUCAUUUAAAAGCCACAGGAAACAAGAGGUAACGCGCCACAAAUUCAAAACUAUGGUCGAACCGAUGUCGACCAGUUUUCAAGCAACAGCGAAUGAACGAAUCGUCACUGACGAUUCUUCAUCCGUCGCUAAGGAGGAUCCACGUGGUCGUUCGCGAACUCGUGGAAAGUUGAUGCUGUAGCCGUCGGAUCUUGCUCGUAUUGCGCAAAUAGGCGAACUGAAAACGCAUUGACACGGGAGAAGCCGUCUAAUGCAAAAGGGGAAGCCGAGAGGAAGGACGAUGGAAGAAGAGAAGGAAGCUGAUGCUGAAUGGCGCCCUACCUGGUCCCCAAAGUCAUAAAUCAUUUCCCCGCGAUACUACCCUUCUGCGUUUCCCUGCAGCAUAACCUCGGUGAUCGGCGACCGGCCAACAUCACCUGCGAUCCAGACUCCGUCAUCUCGAGCCUUGACCGCGUGCUCCAGGAUCAGUAAUACGUGGUGAUGCACGCGUGCGCGUCUUGAUCCGCGUAUCCUUUAGUUACCAACAAGUUUACGACGACCUCAGUGGUGGUUUCUUUGUUAACAGAAUUUGUUUGUUGAGAAAGCAAGAGAGCUUGGAAUUGGAAGAACAGUGGAUCAUCACGUCGAUGGUACGGCCACGUGGAUUUGGCAUUGAAAAUAAGAAUACAACAAUUGGACAACGAUGGAACAAUUUGGACAAUUGGUUGUUAAAACUGUAGAAGUGGUUCGUUUGGUUUUAUGAAGUAAACCUCCUUUUUAAAUCGUCAAAGGAUUUUCUAUGAGAAACAUAAUUUGUUUAUUAGAACAACUGCUGUAUUGUUGUGGUUUAUUCUAAGUCAAGUUUAUUCUAAUUGGAACUGUUUCCUUACAAAAAUCAUAUUGUAUUCAGUUUCUUCAAAUUCCAGUGCAUUAGACGGUACUGUUACAUCUUGGCAUUUAUUAUUAAAAGAAAAAUCUAUUUGGAGAAGGUUAGAUAAAUUAGUUAAGAAGGUUAGUAUAAAAUAGUUGUAUUUAUAGAAAGGGUACGUUUUCUAGUUUGUUAAUAAAUCAUUUUGAUUGAUCUGCCCGGUGUUAAGGAGCUAGAACUUGAUCACCCUUUAUACACGUAUGAAAGUACCCUUAUGAUUUCAUUGAUCGAUGAUUAUAUUAAGUUUCAGUGGAACUUUUCCCGGCAACGAUGCUUAAAUUUACAUUUGUUGGAACGUUCAAUCUUUUGGCAGUGGAAGAGAGAAGUCCUUCGGAGCUGGAAUCGUUCGCCACGACAAACGUAAAAUUAAUAGCCGUCCUUUACUGCGCGGCCCUAUAGUCAGGCAUAGGCUGGUGGGGGACCAUAAAUUUCAGCACACAGAUUCAAAAUGAUCCCCUUUAUUGCCCGAAACCCGGGUUAGUUCUACGUCGACCUGGACCCCGUGCAGUCGGUCCAUCGACUCUCGAGUCUCGUUUCUUUCGUGGCCGUGGAUUUCCUUGCUUUCUCUUGGCUCAACCAAACUCGCCGUUAAUCGCGAGUCGUUGCUCCCGUCGCACCGUGCGAAUCGCCCUUAGAUUGCUCGGUGUCGCCGCCACACGCGAAUGCAACAACGUGCAUGUCGAAUGGAUCCUUCCACUUUUUCCAUUAUCAAAGUAAGUACUACAACAUGGAUUAUAUAUGGCAAUGUAAAAAUAUCAUUAAAAGAGAAAUUAACGUUCUGCGUUCUUAGUUAUGUACCGUCGAUACCGUAAUUUGUUUGUUUCGAAUGAAAUUAAGUGUAUCGCUGUAUAUUGGUAUUUGAUAGUCGGUUUGAUAGAUGUUUAUAAUUGCUUGUUUUUUCUCUUAAUCAUGGCGUAAAUGUUUGAUCGAUGGCACGUACUG
rnacentral:lncRNA from 1 species